CGUCAUGUGCCACAGAGCAGCUUUUGCAUGGCUCUCUCUCUCUGUCUAGUAAUAGAUCUAUGCUAUGACCCAGCAAAGUGGCUAGGGGCUAGCUGGCUAGCAUGCUAACUUAAAUCAAUAUCUCUGUAUCACAACAGAGAGGUGUAGCUCCAUCAUCGGGAUCAAUUUACAUCACCAGUACCAACAUGACCGUCACCUCAGCACAAAAAAAGUAUUUAAAAAGACUCUGAGGGGACGGUGACCGAGUAACCCAGCAGAGGAAGGCUGGCCAGUGGAUAAUCAUCCUGAGGAGAAAGAGGAAAAAAAAAAGGACAAAACAAUUGGCAUUGAAUCCAAAUUUACUUUGGUCUGUCAAAAACAACUCCCACCUCGCCAAGAACAAACAUAGGUAUGCAAGCAGUCGUCUGUCUGUGCUCGCUCUGCAGCGCAGUCAGUGUGAUGUAUAAUCUUCUGGGCAGAGGAUUGUGGGUCACAACAGCCAGAAAAGCGUGCUGGCUUGCGUACUGUGACUGGAUGCAGCAGUUUUAGUAUUUUUGGCAGGCUGUAUUUGGCCUACUAUGUGUUAUCUGACUAAAUAUUGUGGUAUGGGUGUCCUGCAAUAAAAAUGUACUUCAAGUGACAAAAGUUAAAGUACUUGUUCUUGAAAACUGUCCCAGAUGACUGGUGUAUUACUCUAUAUUUCAUUAUAAGAAGCAGCAGUUUACAAUGUUUAACAAUCAAAAGCCUCUGAUUCAAAAAGUCACACUGGCCGGUGAAAAUGUAAAACUCACAGUAUAGAGUUCAUAGACAUCUAACUAAGAUAUUCUGGGGCCGGACGUGAGA